rnacentral:rRNA from 1 species
AUUGAACGCUGGCGGCAGGCUUAACACAUGCAAGUCGAGCGGGGUGAUGGUGCUUGCACUAUCACUUAGCGGCGGACGGGUGAGUAAUGCUUAGGAAUCUGCCUAUUAGUGGGGGACAACAUCUCGAAAGGGAUGCUAAUACCGCAUACGUCCUACGGGAGAAAGCAGGGGAUCACUUGUGACCUUGCGCUAAUAGAUGAGCCUAAGUCGGAUUAGCUAGUUGGUGGGGUAAAGGCCUACCAAGGCGACGAUCUGUAGCGGGUCGGAGAGGAGGAUCCGCCACACUGGGGCUGAGACACGGCCCAGACUCCUACGGGAGGCAGCAGUGGGGAAUAUUGGACAAUGGGGGGAACCCUGAUCCAGCCAUGCCGCGUGUGUGAAGAAGGCCUUAUGGUUGUAAAGCACUUUAAGCGAGGAGGAGGCUCUUUUGGUUAAUACCCAAGAUGAGUGGACGUUACUCGCAGAAUAAGCACCGGCUAACUCUGUGCCAGCCGCCGCGUAA